rnacentral:rRNA from 1 species
UGGGGAAUAUUGCGCAAUGGGCGAAAGCCUGACGCAGCGACGCCGCGUGAGUGAUGAAGGCCCUCGGGUCGUAAAGCUCUGUCAGGGGGGACGAAACCUCGGCAGGUUAAUACCCUGUCGACUUGACGGUACCUCCAAAGGAAGCACCGGCUAACUCCGUGCCAGCAGCCGCGGUAAUACGGAGGGUGCGAGCGUUGUUCGGAAUUACUGGGCGUAAAGCGCGUGUAGGCGGCUAUUUAAGUCUGGUGUGAAAUCCCGGGGCUCACCCCCGGAAGUGCAUUGGAUACUGGAUAGCUAGAGUACCGGAGAGGAGGGUGGAAUUCCUGGUGUAGCGGUGAAAUGCGUAGAUAUCAGGAGGAACACCGGUGGCGAAGGCGGCCCUCUGGACGGAUAACUGACGCUGAGACGCGAAAGCGUGGGGAGCAACAGGAUUAGAUACCCUGGUAGUCCACGCCGUAAACGAUGGGCACUAGGUGUUCGGGGUAGUUGACCCCCUGAGUGCCGCAGCUAA